GGGCCGGGCGCGGCUACACAUGCAGUCGAGCGGUAGAGAGAAGCUUGCUUCUCUUGAAGCGGCGGACGGGUGAGUAAUGCCUAGGAAUCUGCCUGGUAGUGGGGGAUAACGUUCGGAAACGGACGCUAAUACCGCAUACGUCCUACGGGAGAAAGCAGGGGACCUUCGGGCCUUGCGCUAUCAGAUGAGCCUAGGUCGGAUUAGCUAGUUGGUGAGGUAAUGGCUCACCAAGGCGACGAUCCGUAACUGGUCUGAGAGGAUGAUCAGUCACACUGGAACUGAGACACGGUCCAGACUCCUACGGGAGGCAUCAGUGGGGAAUAUUGGACAAUGGGCGAAAGCCUGAUCCAGCCAUGCCGCGUGUGUGAAGAAGGUCUUCGGAUUGUAAAGCACUUUAAGUUGGGAGGAAGGGCAGUUACCUAAUACGUGAUUGUUUUGACGUUACCGACAGAAUAAGCACCGGCUAACUCUGUGCCAGCAGCCGCGGUAAUACAGAGGGUGCAAGCGUUAAUCGGAAUUACUGGGCGUAAAGCGCGCGUACGUGGUUAGUUAAGUUGGAUGUGAAAUCCCCGGGCUCAACCUGGGAACUGCAUUCAAAACUGACUGACUAGAGUAUGGUAGAGGGUGGUGGAAUUUCCUGUGUAGCGGUGAAAUGCGUAGAUAUAGGAAGGAACACCAGUGGCGAAGGCGACCACCUGGACUGAUACUGACACUGAGGUGCGAAAGCGUGGGGAGCAAACAGGAUUAGAUACACUGGUAGUCCACGCCGUAAACGAUGUCAACUAGCCGUUGGGAGCCUUGAGCUCUUAGUGGCGCAGCUAACGCAUUAAGUUGACCGCCUGGGGAGUACCGCCGCGAGGUUAAACUCAAUGAAUUGACGGGGGCCCGCACAAGCGGUGGACCUGUGGUUUAUUUCGAAGCAACGCGAAUAACCUUACCAGGCCUUGACAUCCCAUGAACUUUCUACAGAUAGAUUGCUGCCUUCGGGAACAUGACAACAGUGCUGCAUGGCUGUCGUCAGCUCGUGUCUGAAAUGUUGGUUAGUCCCGUAACGAGCGCAACCCUUGUCCUUAGUUACCAGCACGUUAUGGUGGGCACUCUAAUGAGAC
rnacentral:rRNA from 1 species